CCCACCCUGACUGCAGGCAUUCUCUCUCACCCUGUCCACAUGCCCCUGUUUAGGGGAAGACUGAGGGAAUAACCUAUCAGCUCAGUGAGACAGAACUGUUAAGGGGGCAGGGGCCGAUAAAGGCCAUUGGAUAUAGUAAAGAGAGUGGAGAGAUUUACGUGGCAGCUAUUGACGCUUUCCAAUGGCCCUUGGCUUUGACAGCGACACAAGACCACCCGCGAGGUGUGUUGUUGGCAGGGUGCCAAGCCAAACUGCUUUUGCGUUAGCCUAUAGCGAGCCUAUAACGAGGGCAUUACAAAGUCAUGUCGUCGCGGGAAAUCCCAGAAUAGAGUUCUCAUUUCGGUGCGGAGCCCCCUCACAAAUAGACCACAGAAACCGUAUAGUCAGUGACGCGCUCAGUCGCGUUUUCACACUAACUUUGUGUCUGUCAGUGUGUCCGCCUCACAUGCAUUCCGUUUCACAUGUUGACGACGACAGCUCACUGUGAUCUGUCAUUUAUACUGGGAUUGAUAUGAAAGGAUUGAAUCAAACCAGAAAGAGAGAGGAGAACAUAGACACCAAAGGUCUUCAGAUGGGAUAUGACAGCCAACAGAAACUCUGAAAGUUCUCUGGAUAUAGUUGAAAUGAUUGAAAGCGAAAGCGCGCUCCCCGUCUAAACCCAUCACUUCGUUAUUUAGUCACUCUGUUUUUACUAGCGUCUAUUUUCUUCAAAUUCAAGAACAACAAUAUACAUUCCCCACAACAAGAACACUUUUGAAGAGAAAGCAACAUAUUCUCAGAAAUGCCCCUCCACAAUAUGGACCCCCCGAGGAGCCGAUGGGAGCAGGGCUUGCGGCCGCCGUGGGUCGCCCGAUUGGCUGGAGGGCAAAGCCCCGCCUCUUCAGGGGUGGAGUCAGACACAGAGAGCAGCAGCACAGAGAGCGAGAGGUCUCCAGCCAAACGUUCAGAGGCGCGGUCACCGAGGAUCCUACCGUUGCCCUCCAUGCUGCAACAGCGAAUCACAGAGAUCGACCAGCAGAGGGAGGAGCUAAAGAUAGAGCUGCAGCUGGAGAUAGCCCUGUUGGAGGGCGAGCUGCAGGAGGAGAGGAACGAGCUGCGCAGGCACACUCUGUAUCUACAGACACUGCAGGAGGAAGGCGGGCAGGAGGAGACACACAGACAGACGGACAGACAGAAGGUCAGUGGUGCUGUACACACAAGGAGCAUAAGGAGCAAGGCAGACGCAGACAGACUGACGGACGGUUAGCGGUGCACAGACAGAGCUCCAUUCAAUACCAUCCAAAGCAUCCUGUCUUCAGGCGGUAUGUUUGAAUCUCACGGUUUGGGACCGGAGGUUGAUAUGGCCUGUACAUGAGUAGCUAUAGCAGUGAGGUAGACACUGAGUCACUUCAUGUGACACUAUAGGCCUCAGCGAUGUGAUAGUGGAAUGAGUUGACAAACAGAUGGAUCUUUAUAUAAAGGGAUGACUGUUCCCUCUCUCAUCCCUCAUCCUCCUCUUUUCGCUCUCUCUCACUCUCUCUCUCUCUCUCUCUCUCUCUCUGUAGGAGCGAGCCAGUCUGGAGGUGGAGAGGGCCCGGGUUGAGGAGCUGAGGAGUAGGUUGGAGGAGAAGGAGACACUGAUCCCCAGUCAGCCAGAGGGCCAGAGAGAGCAGCUACUGAUCCAACUACAACAGGUGAUUUACUGAUCCAGGAACAGUCCACUGACUGGGGUGGUAUUCAUUAAGGCACGCAAUGUUUUAAAACGUUUUGCAAAACAAAAAGAAAAAGAGCGCUUCUUAAGUCCAGGUUGUCCCUACCUGUUUCACUCCGUUUUCUUCCGUUUGGUACCUUAUCAAUAGUACCCAGCUAACUGAUUUCAUGCCUUGCCACUAGACAGCGUGCAAAAGAGAAUGCACUGCAUCUUCUACCUGUUUGUCUGUCUAGAUGUAGUUAGGGUAGUUCACAGGUAGCCUAGCAGAGUGACAUCAUCUGCCCUGAGACCUGAAGUGAAGUCAACUUUGUGCAGUGGAGAGCUAGCUUUUGGUCUAUAUACAGUUGAAUUCAGGUGCUAGUGACAGCAUGGUCUCACACUGCCUCUGGUUAGAACUCAUUUCACAUCAUGUGUUCUAAUUCUUGCCUCUCUCGUCAUUGUUAUAAAGGAUUGCAUGUUCUUUCUUGUCGGCGGUACUAGUUAUCUUUGUAAUACCUCUUCUACCUGAUAGGUCAAAGUGUCAUAGAGGUAUCUGAGACAGACAUGCAGGCAGGCAGACAAAGGGUUCAUUGUGCAUUUUGGCAGUGACACUGACAUGGCGUGUCAUUCUGAUGCCAGUGGAUGUGUCCCACAUGGCACCCUAUUCCCUAUAUAGUGCACAACUUUUAACAAGAGGCCAAUGGGGCCUGGUCAAAAGUAGUGUACUAUAUUGAGAAUAGGAUGGCCUUUGGGACACAAGCUUGAGACCUACGACUUGGUUUAAUGGUCUUGAAUGGAGUGGUCCGACCAGUUGUUUUUUGGUUUAGUGUCCUAAGCCACAGGCUCUUUCUGUACUAAUCAAUAGCUUUCUUCCAUUUUCUGUCUGUUCCUAUCCUUCUGCAUCUUUCUUUCAUCACUUUCUCUCUCUCUCUGCAUCCCUCCAUCACACUCUCUUUUUCCCUCCAUCUCUCUCUGUUCCAUCUCUCUUUCCCUCCAUCUCUCUCUCUCCCUCCAUCCCGCUCUCUUUCUCUCUUUCCCUCCAUCCCUCUCUCUCUCUUCCAGGAGAAAGAGACGGUGGAAGCAGCCGGCCGCGUGUUUGAGGACUGGGAAUUCCGUGUCCUGGAGAGCGAGGCCGGAGUAGAGGAGGAGGAGAGAGAAGGAAAGAUAGAAGGGAAGGAGAGAGGGAACGAGGAAGAUAAGGAGAAGGAGAUCUCAUGCCAAAAGCAUGCUGUCAACUCAGCGCAGGUAAGCCAGGGUCAACAAAUAAGAAGACGACAACAUUUCAGAGAAUCUCGCAGCUCCAAGCUGGUUCUACUAGUUUGGUUAGAAGCUUAUCCCGCACACUAGACUCUCUCUAAAUGUCCCCCCCCCCCCCCCACGGUAGUCACUCUCUGUUUGGAAACGGCUCCUCACAAGUACCCCCCUUCCCCC
rnacentral:lncRNA from 8 species